rnacentral:rRNA from 1 species
UACGUAGGGUGCGAGCGUUGUCCGGAUUUAUUGGGCGUAAAGAGCGUGUAGGCGGUCCGGUAAGUCCGCUGUGAAAGUCGGGGGCUCAACCCUCGAAUGCCGGUGGAUACUGUCGGGCUAGAGUGCGGAAGAGGCGAGUGGAAUUCCUGGUGUAGCGGUGAAAUGCGCAGAUAUCAGGAGGAACACCAAUUGCGAAGGCAGCUCGCUGGGACGUUACUGACGCUGAGACGCGAAAGCGUGGGGAGCAAACAGG